rnacentral:rRNA from 1 species
CUAAGAAUAUUCCGCAAUGGACGGAAGUCUGACGGAGCGACGCCGCGUGGAUGAAGAAGGCCGAAAGGUUGUAAAGUUCUUUUGCUAGGGGAGAAUAAGUGUGGGAGGGAAUGCCUGCACGAUGACAAGGACUAGCGAAUAAGUCCCGGCCAACUACGUGCCAGCAGCCGCGGUAACACGUAGGGGGCGAGCGUUGUUCGGAAUUACUGGGCGUAAAGGGCAUGUAGGCGGCUUGGUAAGCCUGGCGUGAAAGUCUGCAGCUUAACUGUAGGGAUGCGUUGGGAACUGCUUAGCUUGAGUUACGGAGAGGGAGCUGGAAUCCCUGGUGUAGGGGUGAAAUCUGUAGAUAUCAGGAAGAACACCGAUGGCGAAGGCAAGCUUCUGGCCGACAACUGACGCUGAGGUGCGAAAGUGUGGGGAUCAAACA